AUCCCAUGAUGAGGACACUUAUGAAGUAACUCCUUGAAUCACUCCCAAGCCUCAUACAAAGACUCAUCAUCCAAUUUUUGGAAAAUUGUGAUAUCGGUCCUCAACUU
rfam:Gossypium arboreum cultivar AKA8401 contig_292_7, whole genome shotgun sequence.